rnacentral:rRNA from 1 species
CCUACGGGAUGCAGCAGUGAGGAAUAUUGGUCAAUGGGCUCGAGCCUGAACCAGCCAAGUAGCGUGAAGGAUGACUGCCCUACGGGUUGUAAACUUCUUUUAUCAAGGAAUAAAGUGAGGCCCGUGUGCCUUUUUGUAUGUACUUUAUGAAUAAGGAUCGGCUAACUCCGUGCCAUCAUCCGCGGUAAUACGGAGGAUCCGAGCGUUAUCCGGAUUUAGUGGGUUUAAGGGGAGCGUAGAUGGUUUGUUAAGUCAGUUGUGAAAGUUUGCGGCUCAACCGUAAAAUUGCAAUUGAUACUGGCAGUCUUGAGUACAGAUGAGGUAGGCGGAAUGCGUGGUGUAGCGGUGAAAUGCUUAGAUAUCACGAAGAACUCCGAUUGCGAAGGCAGCUUACUAAACUGCCACUGACAUUGAUGCUCGAAAGUGUGGGUAUCAAACAGGAUUAGAUACCCCAGUAGUC